GCUGUGAUCGCGAGCCCAGCGGCCGGCCCGCUGCGCUGGGCGCAGGGUGGGAUCUGCAGGAAGUGAAAUGGUUACUUUUUUUACUGCGGGCUCUGGUUACUUUUGAAGAUCGCCGGCCCCAGGCGGGCGCCCAGCGCAGAGCGGAGACGGGUUUUGCUCUCCGCAGUGGAGGAUCCUGGAGACGCAGAGCUGGGGCGUGUGGGAUGCGGUGGCCUGGACCAGGCGACUCAAACGCCGGGAGUGGAUUCCGCAAACGCCCACGGGAACAGAGGUUCUCCGCGGAGCUAGGCAGCCAUUGUUUGAUGUCCUGUGACUGAGAAAACCAGAUUUUUCACCGUAUUAUGCCUUUGGAGAUGGAGCCCAAAAUGAGCAAACUCGCCUUCGGGUGUCAGAGAAGUUCCACAUCAGAUGAUGACUCCGGCUGUGCACUGGAGGAGUACGCCUGGGUGCCCCCGGGCCUCAGACCCGAGCAGAUCCAGCUCUAUUUUGCUUGUUUACCAGAGGAAAAGGUUCCUUAUGUUAAUAGCCCUGGAGAGAAACAUCGGAUUAAACAGCUUUUGUACCAGUUGCCACCACAUGAUAAUGAGGUGCGGUAUUGCCAGUCUUUGAGUGAAGAGGAGAAAAAGGAAUUGCAGGUUUUCAGUGCUCAGCGGAAGAAGGAAGCACUGGGAAGAGGAACGAUUAAACUCUUGUCCAGAGCAGUAAUGCACGCCGUGUGUGAGCAGUGUGGGGUGAAGAUAAACGGAGGUGAGGUGGCUGUGUUUGCCUCCCGCGCGGGCCCAGGAGUGUGCUGGCACCCAGCCUGUUUUGUCUGCUUCACGUGCAACGAGCUGCUGGUCGACCUCAUCUAUUUUUAUCAGGAUGGAAAAAUUCACUGUGGCCGGCACCACGCGGAACUGCUCAAGCCACGGUGCUCGGCAUGUGAUGAGAUAAUUUUUGCUGAUGAGUGCACAGAAGCUGAGGGUCGCCAUUGGCACAUGAAGCACUUCUGCUGCCUUGAGUGUGAAGUGGUCCUGGGAGGACAGAGGUACAUCAUGAAGGAGGACCGCCCGUUCUGCUGCGGCUGUUUUGAGUCUCUCUAUGCAGAGUAUUGUGAAACCUGUGGGGAGCACAUUGGUGUCGACCAUGCACAGAUGACCUACAACGGGCAGCAUUGGCAUGCCACUGAGGAGUGCUUUUCUUGUGCCCAGUGUAAGGCCUCUUUGUUGGGAUGUCCCUUCCUUCCCAAGCAAGGUCAGAUUUAUUGCUCAAAAACAUGCAGCCUCGGUGAAGACGUCCAUGCUUCUGAUUCUUCCGACUCUGCGUUUCAGUCAGCGCGGUCGAGAGACUCCAGACGAAGUGUCCGCAUGGGCAAGAGCAGUCGCUCAGCAGAUCAGUGCCGACAGUCUCUGCUCUUGUCCCCGGCCCUGAACUACAAGUUCCCUGGCCUUUCAGACAAUGCUGACGACACCCUUUCUCGGAAGUUGGAUGAUCUGAGUCUCUCCAGGCAAGAAGCAGGAUUUGUCAAUGAAGACUUCUGGAAAGGUAGGGUAGAGCACGAAACCUCAGAAGACCCUGAAGAAUGGGCGGAACAUGAAGAUUAUAUGACGCAGCUCCUCCUCAAGUUUGGAGAUAAAAGCCUCUUUCAGCAACAGCCCAAUGAGAUGGAUUUGCAAGCCAGUGAACACUGGAUAUCUGAUAACAUGGUUAAAAAUAAGACUGAGUUAAAGCAAAAUAACCAGAGCCUUGCAAGUAAAAAAUACCAAUCUGAUAUGUAUUGGGCGCAGUCACAAGAUGGACUAGGCGAUUCUGCUUAUGGCAGCCACCCAGGCCCUGCGAGCAGUAGGAGGCUCCAGGAGUUGGACCUAGACCACGGGGCUUCAGGAUACAAUCAUGAUCAAACUCAGUGGUAUGAAGAUUCCCUGGAGUGUUUGUCAGACUUGAAACCAGAGCAAAGCGUUCGGGAUUCUAUGGAUUCUUUGGCUUUGUCUAAUAUCACAGGGGCUUCAGUGGAUGGAGAAAGCAAACCCAGGCCAUCGCUAUAUUCUCUGCAAAACUUUGAGGAGAUGGAGACAGAAGAUUGCGAGAAAAUGAGCAACAUGGGAACGCUGAACUCGUCCAUGCUGCACAGGAGUGCGGAGUCCUUAAAGAGUCUGAGUUCAGAGUUGUGUCCAGAAAAAAUCAUGCCGGAAGAGAAGCCAGUCCAUCUGCCAGUGCUCAGAAGGUCCAAGUCCCAGUCCAGACCACAACAGGUCAAGUUUUCGGAUGACGUCAUCGACAACGGCAACUACGACAACAUCGAGAUCCGCCAGCCUCCCAUGAGCGAAAGGACUCGGAGGCGCGUCUACCAUUUCGAAGAGAGGGGAUCCAGGCCUCAUCACCAUCGCCGCAGGAGAAGUAGAAAGUCCCGCUCUGACAACGCCCUGAAUCUGGUGACAGAAAGAAAAUACUCUCCCAAGGACAGACUGCGGCUCUACACGCCCGAUAACUACGAGAAGUUCAUCCAGAGCAAGAGCGCCCGGGAGAUCCAGGCGUACGUGCGCAACGCCGAGCUGUACGGCCAGUACGCGCACGCCACCUCCGACUACGCCCUGCAGAACCCCGCCGUGAGCAGGUUCCUGGGGCUCUACGGCGAGGACGAUGACUCCUGGGGCUCCUCCUCCACCUCCUCCUCCGACUCCGAAGAAGAAGGCUAUUUUCUUGGACAGCCCAUCCCUCAGCCCCGGCCGCAGAGAUACGCCUAUUACACUGACGACCUCUCCAGCCCCACGUCUGUACUCCCCGGCCCCCAGUUUGGUCAGAGGACAACUAAAUCCAAGAAGAAAAAGGGACACAAGGGCAAAAACUGUAUCAUUUCUUAAUUUUAACCGUGUAGCUAUGGAGAUAGGUCAUUUGUUUAAAACUUAGCCCGUAGCCAUCUGAAUCAUAUCUUUUUUUUUUUCUUCCGUAGGAGAGUGGCUAAAAUAGUUCAAGUGCUCUCUUUGCCCGUGUAAACGAGAACCCGACAGCUGUUUACAGUGUCAGAUGAACAUUUGCAAGGGGUGAUCGCUCCAGCUUCCCCUCCUUGUGUGGUGCCAGUCGGGUGCAUUACAGUUUGAUAUAGCUGCUUUGGUCUCCAGUCCUCGAGAGAAUACUCCGGAAACUGUCCAAGGUGAUAGGACGGGGGUGUUGAUGUUCGAAGACGGAGAGCUCCAGCCGCCUUUGUAAAGCAAUAGUGUCAGUCAUUUAUGUAAGUCAGGUUGGCUCAGGUCCUGUCGGUCUGUCUGUCCUGAGGCAUGCACGUCGUCGCGAUGGCCUCGCUAGCACUGUGCAUCCUGGUGUGCGAGGCCCCUUUGCCCCCUUUAACCCUCAGUAACCAGGUAAACUUGUAUUAGCGCCAGCUACAGAUUGAACAGAAAACACAUUGCUAUUUAUAAUGUAGUAUUUCAUAGACUUAAGUGUAUCCCUAAUUUAACGGUGCAAAUAUUAAUGUACAUAUUGUACAGUUCAGAUUUUAAAGCUGAUAUUUUUAUAUCCCUGAAUUGCAAGACGUUUGUUACACUGCAGUGCUAGAUUUGUUAGGGAACCAGAAACAGCAUUUAUGGAUGAAAUGAUUGCUUGUAUUUUAGUCGGGGUUUCUAAGUUUAGACUGUCAAAUUUAUAUUGCCUAGUGAUGGAAAGUUCAAUGUUUUUGAUUUUUCAAUAUUAAAAAAAGGCUCUGUAUGCAUGGUGGGGCUACAUAAAUACUCUUUAACCUAUGGCCCUAUUAAUCUUACAAGUGUUAUUUAUGGGUCAAGCAAUGUAAACUGUAAAAAUGUAAAAACGAGCAAAAAAAAGAAAAAAAAAAACCCUCCAUACAUACCGAUAGAAUACAUGAUAAAAGCAAGUAGAAGCUGGUUGGGUGAAUGCUUUUUCUCCCCCUGGGUAGAAGAGGGGGUGCCUUUCCCACUCUGAGCAAGGUGGUGAGAGGCCAAAACUAUACGGAUCUGCUUUUUUUGGCAGAGAACUGUAUAGAUUUAUUAUUUAAAGAGAGGUUAUUCCUUGUUAUCCUUCCCUUCCAGCUAAUUUGUUGGCCUUUAACAGCAAUUUUGAAAAUGGGGUCUUCUGGUUACGUUUUUCUUUUAAAAUCUUUAAAUUAGAGGACACUGUGUCACUGAGCACUGCAAGUUAAUAUGAGGUUCCAGUUCCAGGGGAAAUUAUGUUGGAUUUGAGCUGAUGAGUGGGUAUUUGAACACGUGCCAUUCUUGCGUAUAUGUCCUAGUGAUAUCCAGGACCUUUAGGGAGGUAUUUAAUAAAGGCUUAAUAAAUAACAAACUACCUUCUGAUUAUAAAUCUUUACAAACACAUCCGGGUAACUUCCAUUCUGCUCCUCUAUUCAGACACGGU